AAAUAGCCCCGAUUGGAGCGGCAUCCUUUUUUGAGCGGACGGAGCAAAGCGGAGUCCGUUCAAAAAAGAUACAGCGGAAAGCGGGAAAAAGC
rnacentral:sRNA from 1 species